rnacentral:lncRNA from 1 species
CUUAAGCUUCAUAAGUUUCUUAGCAAUUUUAGUAAUGUUUUAUAGAUUUGCAGUAAUUAAAAGCAUACCACAACGACGCGUGUCCAUAUAAGAUCUAGAUAGGGUUUACAUAAUAGAGGAUCUAUUUGUAUAAUAGAUUAGACCGUUGGUUUUCCCGUUUGAAUAGUUUUACAUUACUGAUUUUUGGAGCCCUUUAUUGCUUGCUGUUCGGUAUGAGCCCAGGAUCCGUGUUGAAGGCCGUACCUUGACCUUUAAUGGUUUACUUUUAUAAAUUGUUAUUUGGAUGGAGAGUUGUCUCAUUGGUACUCAUACCACUUCUUCCUAUAUAUAUAUAUCAUGAGCCAAAAGGUAAAAAAUAAAGGGUAAGACAAUUAAGAAUAUGGAAAAAUGGAUUUCGGAAAUAAAAGAUAGAAAGUAUUAAUGGGGUUCGAAAAUAAUAAAAUAAGAGAAUAAUGGUCAAAAUAAAUAGAGAAUACAGAAAACUGUUCUAUAAAAUUAUGGAAUAUAAAGAAACGAAUUACAUGCCAAUAUUGACUUUAUAUAUUGUUGCAAGACCAUAGGUUCGCCUCUUGGUGUAUUUUUUUGUAUUGUCAGAUUGCUGUCUCGUUUCUACUUUUGAGCGUCAUCAAGCAAAGGGCCAG